rnacentral:snRNA from 1 species
GUGCUUACUUUGGCAGCACAUAUACUAAAAUUGGAAUGAUACAGAGAAGAUUAGCAUGGCACCUAUACAAGAAUGACACGAAAAUUCGUGAAGAGUUCCAUGUUAAA